rnacentral:pre_miRNA from 1 species
AGUAGAGUUGCUGGGUCAUAUGGUUAGUAUAUAUUUAACUUUGUAAGAAACUGCCAAACUGUUUUUCAAAGUAGUUACACCAUUUUGCAUUUCCACUGGCAGU